UACGGAGGGUGCAAGCGUUUAAUCGGAAUUACUGGGCGUAAAGCGUGCGUAGGCGGUUCGUUAAGUCUGUUGUGAAAGCCCCGGGCUCAACCUGGGAAUGGCAAUGGAUACUGGCGAGCUAGAGUGUGUCAGAGGAUGGUGGAAUUCCCGGUGUAGCGGUGAAAUGCGUAGAGAUCGGGAGGAACAUCAGUGGCGAAGGCAGCCCCCCUGGGCUGACACUGACGCUCAGGCACGAAAGCGUGGGGGAGCAAACAGG
rnacentral:rRNA from 1 species